CCAAGUUACAAAUAUUUUGCAGAUAUUACAUCUAACAAUGCACCUUACAAUAUAAACACAUACGGUGUUUUCUAGAAAGUCAAAAAUCACCUGAUGCUGUUCCUCCAAUCAAUUAUGCAAAUGUGCAGGUGUUGGGCAGAUUGUUCGUCACGUUUUGCUUUAAGUUAAGCCAACUAUUUGAGUAAGUCGACACUUUUCUUAAAUAUGGACAGUAUGGAAUAUGAAACGCUCUUUAACUAUAAAGUUAAAGGCGAAUAUCCACCGCAGUCAACGAAGCAAAGAAAAUAUGUCAUUCGAAGGAAAGCCUCAUCGUACAAGAUUGAAGGUAAUUAUCUUUAUCUUCCAGAGUGAUGCAUUGACGGUAACCUCUACUUUAAUAUGUAGCAAAUAGUGGAAUGCAUAAGUUAUCUAAAAACUGAUAACAUUCAAUGUUUUUUUGUUAUUAAUUUACUGCUGCAUUUAUUUUCGAUUAAUAUGUGUGCACACAUGAACGUUACUCCACGUUAUAAUGCAGGAAUAACGCGCACUGUUCUUGACUGCAGUUGUUAUUCAUGUGAAUUACACUUUUACUCCAGUUCUAUUUCUAAGUUGUGUUGUAAAAAGAUUCCCGUACUUCUACAUUCAUCAAUAAAAGAAACAAAAUCUAGCAAAGAGGACAAUUGUGAAUAAAAACCAUUACUCACAGAUGAACCCAAUGAAUUAUGAAAUAAUUCUGGAAACCAACAAUCAACACCACCACUGGACUUUAGUGGUAAUAAAUGUUUUUAAACUCUAAAAACAAUCUAUAUCAUACUUAUCUCUUAGACAAAAACCACAUGAAAACUGUAAAAUGCCCACUUUCUAGGUGAUCUACCCACAAGAGAAAAAGUCUUUGUCCUUGAAUCCAAAACAAGACAUCCAGAAAGGUUUGCAAAUCACAAGGUAUGGUUAAAAAUGUACGUUUAACUCAAGUAUGAAAAUCAAGUAAAGUUGUUCUUAUUAAUAUAUCUAUAUUUACAGGGCAUUUAUGAGGAAGAAGGGGUGCAAUGUCUCACGUUGGACAUGUGACCCAGUCAAGCAUCCAAAACAACAAGAUAGUUCAUCAUGUGGUGGAUUUUCACUGAAGGUUUCAGACAUAUUGUCACACAGUGUAUGACUUUAGGAUUUUGAUAUAUAUUUUGAGACAUGUACAGUGAAUUACUUACUUUGUUACUUAAAUUUAAAGACAUUAAAUGAAGCUGUUCAUUUCAGUUUGCAGAAAAAAUCCUAUCAAAAGAGGUUGUUGAUUUUCCUGUUUCCAGAGAGGCGGCCCACAGCAUGACACUUAUCCUUAACAUUAAUAUCCUUAUUUUCAGUGUUUAUGACAAUUGUUAUCAUGAUUACUAUUAUUUGUAUGUUUGGCUAAAACAUCUGUACUUAGCCAAACUUAAUACAUUAACAUGGACUCUGAAAACAUUUAUUUAAGGAAAUUGUUUGUCUACAAAUUAAUAAGUACAAUCAUUUCAUUUUCUAUAUUUUUUUCAUAAAUGACUGUGUUGGUGCUUAGCACAUCCUGUGUAACAGUUUUAUACACACACACAUAUAUACGGUCACGACUGUACAUGUAUAAUCGUGUGUGUGUGUGUGUGUGUGUUUUUAUACUUUUGUUGUUAACAGAGGACCUAAAAGACUUGUGUCACUUCUGUGGAGAGAUGGAAAGUGACCCGGAUGUGAACUGGAUCCAGUGUGACGUGUGUCUGAGGUGGUUCCAUCAUGCAUGUGUGGGAAGCCCACCAACUGGAAAAACUUAUCACUGCUUUGCCUGUUUGCCUUAGUUGCCUUAGUUUGCCUUUGUUCCUGAGUUUGCUGUGGUGUGCUUGUUUAUGUAUGUUGUUUAAUGGUUAAUAAAUUACAUUUUGAAAACUGUUU